UACGAGGGGGGGCGAGCGUUGUUCGGAAUUAUUGGGCGUAAAGGGUGCGUAGGCGGCCUGACAAGUCUGAUAUGAAAAUCCCCUGGGGCUCAACCCCAGGGCCUGCAUCGGAAACUGUCGGGCUUGAGUAUGGGAGAGGUGAGUGGAAUUUCCGGUGUAGCGGUGAAAUGCGUAGAUAUUGGGAAGAACACCGGUGGCGAAGGCGGCGACCUGGUCCGAUACUGACGCUGAGGCGCGAAAGCGUGGGGAGCAAACAGG
rnacentral:rRNA from 1 species